GGUCAAGCAAGUAAGGGCAUACGGUGGAUGCCUUGGCACGCGGAGGCGAUGAAGGACGUGGCAAACUGCGAUAAGCCUCGGGGAGCGGUAAGCACGCGGUGAUCCGGGGAUGUCCGAAUGGGGUAACCCACUAGAGGUCAUGCUCUAGUAACUGUGCCUGAAUCCAUAGGGCACAGUGGCGAACGAGGGGAACUGAACCAUCUCAGUACCCUUAGGAAGAGAAAGCAAAUGCGAUUCCCUUAGUAGCGGCGAGCGAAAUGGGAAGAGUCUAAACCGCAUAACUGGAAGCCUGCCGGCGUUGGUUAUGUGGUGUUGCGGGGCAUUGUUGGGCAGUUCGGCAGAGCUGCCGAGGUGACGCGUGAUAGGUAUAGACAAAAGUGUUGGAAAACACUACCAGAGAAGGUGAAAGUCCUGUAGUUGAAUAUACUUAUCCGGCCUUGGACAGUGUUCCCAAGUACCGCGGGACACGAGGAACCCUGUGGGAAGCUGGGAGGCCCACCUCCCAAGACUAAAUACUACCGCGUGACCGAUAGAGGACUAGUACCGUGAGGGAAAGGUGAAAAGGACGCCUGUUAGGCGAGUGAAAUAGAACCUGAAACCGUAUGCUUACAAGCGGUAGGAGCCCGAGUUGCAUAGUAGCAAUGCUAUGCAGCGGGUGACUGCGUGCCUUUUGCAUAAUGAGCCAACGACUGACGUUAACGCGCAAGGUUAAGCCGUGAGGUGGAGCCGCAGCGAAAGCGAGUCUGAAUAGGGCGAUUAAGUGCGUUGAUGUUGACCCGAAGCCAGGUGAGCUACCCAUGGCCAGGGUAAAGCGAUCCUAACAGAUCGUGGAGGCCCGAACCGACUAAGAUUGAAAACUUGGCGGAUGAGCUGUGGGUAGGGGUGAAAGGCCAAGCAAACCUGGAGAUAGCUGGUUCUCCCCGAAAUCUAUUUAGGUAGAGCCUUGUAGAUCGCGUCCCGGCGGUAGAGCACUGAUUGGAGUAGGGACCCUACCAGGUUACCGAAUCCAGACAAACUCCGAAUGCCGGUAACGACAGCUACAGGAGUCAGACUGUAGGGGAUAAGCUCUAUGGUCGAGAGGGAAAGAACCCAGACCGCCCGCUAAGGUCCCUAAAUCGCUGCUCAGUGGUAAAGGUUGUCAGAUUGCCCAGACAGCCAGGAGGUUGGCUUAGAAGCAGCCAUCCUUUAAAGAAAGCGUAACAGCUCACUGGUCGAGUGACAGCUCACUGGUCGAGUGGUAUGGCGCCAAAAAUUCAUGGGACUCAAGCAGCGUACCGACGCGACGGAUACCUCUUUGGAGGUAUGGUAGGGGAGCGUUCUCAGUGGGGUGAAGCUAUACGGCAACGCGUGGUGGACUACUGAGAAGUGCGCAUGUUGGCAUGAGUAACGACAAAGGGGGUGCGAAUCCCCCUCGCCGAAAACCCAAGGGUUCCUGGGCAAGGUCAUCCUCCCAGGGUUAGUCGGUUCCUAAGCCGAGGCCGAAAGGCGUAGGUGAUGGACAACUGGUUAAUAUUCCAGUACUUCCUUGCUCGCGUUUGAGCAAUGGGGGGACGCAGAAGGGUAGUCCAGCCGGCGAUUGGAUGUGCCGGUGCAAGCCUGUAGGAGGGAUAAGGAGGCAAAUCCCCUUAUCUAUUAACUCCAAGAGGUGAUGGCGAGACCGCUAGGUCAUAAAGUGGAUGAUCCCAUGCUGCCAAGAAAAGCCUCUAGCAAGUGAGUAAGGAAACCGUACCCGAAACCGACACAGGUGGGUGAGGAGAGAAUCCUA
rnacentral:rRNA from 1 species